UUCACCCCAAGGCUAUAUCUAGUUGCGUCUUGAAUACUUCAAUGUUUUGGCAUAAACUUGGAUGAAGGAGUGGAAUGGUGGAUUAGCAAGUUCGCGGACAAUACGAAGAUUGGAAGGUCAUGCACACAAAAUGUCUUGUCGGUUAUUAUGAAAGGUGGCUAAAAUGAAUGCAAGUGGAAAAUCUUUUUUCAGUUACAGUACUGGAUAUACCACGCAUCUUUGGGCCUGAUUUUCAUUCAUGGAUGGAGAACUCAGAGAUAUUCCCCAGCUCCACAAAAUCAAAACCUCACCCUGGAAGAUGAAUCUUAGCUCUGGGGAGGUAGGGUUCCUUUGAAGAUGGGAUUGGUGACCCUGGAACAAGAGCCAAGGCUGCAUAUAGAUGCAGGCUGAGUGUAAGGCGUGCCUGUAUGAUAUGGCAUUGUAUGAAAGACUAAAACAAACUA